GACGAACGCUGGCGGCGUGCUUAACACAUGCAAGUCGAACGGAAAGGCCCUGCUUUUGUGGGGUGCUCGAGUGGCGAACGGGUGAGUAACACGUGAGUAACCUGCCCUUGACUUUGGGAUAACUUCAGGAAACUGGGGCUAAUACCGGAUAGGAGCUCCUGCUGCAUGGUGGGGGUUGGAAAGUUUCGGCGGUUGGGGAUGGACUCGCGGCUUAUCAGCUUGUUGGUGGGGGAGUGGCUUACCAAGGCUUUGACGGUUAGCCGGCCUGAGAGGGUGACCGGCCACAUUGGGACUGAGAUACGGCCCAGACUCCUACGGGAGGCAGCAGUGGGGAAUAUUGCACAAUGGGCGGAAGCCUGAUGCAGCAACGCCGCGUGCGGGAUGACGGCCUUCGGGUUGUAAACCGCUUUAGCCUGUGACGAAGCGGGAGUGACGGUAAUGGGUAAAGAAGCACCGGCUAACUACGUG
rnacentral:rRNA from 1 species